rnacentral:rRNA from 1 species
UGGUCUGUAACUGACGCUGAGGCUCGAAAGCAUGGGUAGCGAACAGGAUUAGAUACCCUGGUACGUCCAUGACCGUAAACGAUGAAUGCUAGGUGUGGUAGGGUUUCCGCCCUUCAGUCGCCGCAGACUAACGCAAUUAAGCACUUCCGCCGUGGGGAGUACGACCGACGUAAGGUUAGAAACUACGAAAGGUAAUUGGACCGGGGGCCCGCAACAAGGCGGUGGAGCAUGGUUAGGUUUAAUUACGAAGACAACGACGAACGUAACCUUACCGAGGUUCUUGACAUUCUUUGAUCACCUGAGAGAUCGUACGUUUCCCGUCGGGGACAAAAUGACAGGUGGUGCAUGGUUGUCGUCAGCUCGUGUCGUGAGAUGUUGGGUUAAGUCC